GUUCUCAUUUUGGGUGCCUGAACUCUGCAAUAUGUUUAAGCCAAUAUUCUGGAAGAAGUUCUGGAAGUCAAGCAGUAGAACAUGUGAGGUUCUGGAACUCAGUUCUGGUGUUCUGUCCUUGUCAAUCUUGCAGUAGAAUAUGUGAGGCGUUGGAUCUUGUGUAUUUCCCUCACGGAUUCAAGCAGAAAAUUGACACAAAAGUAGAUACAAAUACAAACCUGAUAAAGAGCAAGUUCUUGUGGUAAUGAUUUGUUCUUCAGUGUCUUGUCAGUGGUGGAAGAGAUACUCUGGAGCUGCUGCAGUGUGUCUGGGGCUGCUGUGUGUCCUCCUACUGGCUGGGAUCAUAGGCCUGUUUCUCUACCAGCGAAACCAAUUGACCUGUUCCAACACCCUGACUGAAGAGAGGGACCAGCUACAGACCAGCGGAAACAAUAUGACUGAAGAGAGAGACCAGCUACAGACCAGCGACAACACCCUGACCAAUGAGAGAGACCAGCUACAGACCAGUUACAACACCCUGACCAAAGAGAGAGACCAGCUACAGACCAGUUACAACACUCUGACCAAAGAGAGAGACCAGCUACAGAAAGAGACAGAACUUCUGAAACAAUCUUUAGUUGAGAAAGUGUGUCCGGAAGGAUGGAAGAAGCUUGGUAGCUUGGUUGUUACUACGUCUCUACUGAGUACAAAUCCUGGAAGGAGAGCAGACAGGACUGCAGAAAUAGAGGAGCAGACCUGGUCGUCAUCAACAGCCAAGAACAACAGGUGUGUGAGAAGAGAGAGAGUGACAGAGAGAGUGAGAGAGAGACUAAAAGAGAGUGACAGAGUGAGACAGGGAUGCAGCUUAAGCCCCACCCUCUUCAACAUAUACAGUGCCUUGCGAAAGUAUUCGGACCCCUUGAACUUUGCGA